GACGAACGCUGGCGGCGUGCUUAACACAUGCAAGUCGAACGGAAAGGCCCUGCUUUUGUGGGGUGCUCGAGUGGCGAACGGGUGAGUAACACGUGAGUAACCUGCCCUUGACUUUGGGAUAACUUCAGGAAACUGGGGCUAAUACCGGAUAGGAGCUCCUGCUUCAUGGUGGGGGUUGGAAAGUUUCGGCGGUUGGGGAUGGACUCGCGGCUUAUCAGCUUGUUGGUGGGGUAGUGGCUUACCAAGGCUUUGACGGGUAGCCGGCCUGAGAGGGUGACCGGCCAAAUUGGGACGGAGAUACGGCACAGACUAAUACGGGAGGCAGCAGUGGGGAAUAGUGCACAAUGGGAGGAAGCCUGAUGCAGCAAAGCCGCGUGGGGGAUGACGGCCUUCGGGUUGUAAACCGCAUUCGCCUGUGACGAAGCGUGAGUGACGGUAAUGGGUAAAGAAGCACCGGCUAACUACGUG
rnacentral:rRNA from 1 species